AACUCCACAAGAAAACCAGCUGUCCUUGAUUACAGUGAUAUAUUAGUCACUCUACGGUUGCUGUGCCAGUCAGCAUUUUGCAUACAGCAAAUAAAUGCAGAGAUAUUUUCUAGGCAGAAAUAUGUGGGGACAAAGUUCUGUGCAUGGCUUACCUCUGAGAUGGGCUGAUUUGUUUGUUUAUUUGUUUUUAUAUUGCCAGUUAUAAAGAACAAAGGAUUUGGGGAGGUCUGAGCCAGGAAGGCAUUGAGGAAAUUUUACAUGAAGAUGGUCUUUUGGGGAAUCAACACUUGUUUUGUUCUCCUCCUGGGGGGUGAAUUCCCUGAAUGUGACUUGACCCCAAGAGGUGACUGUGCAGAUUGAGCAAGUAAAAUGCAUACAGAAGUUUCCUCUCCAUAGAUGGUGCUGCAGACAGGAAUUUGCUAAAAGGAAUGCUUGGAAGCCUUUUGGGAACAAUUCCUCUGAGAAAACGACCAUUUUAACAAAACUGUGCUUAGAUGAAUGAACCAGCCUGGACAGCAAAAGAGGCAAAAGUUGCUCUCUGAUCCUAAAAUGAGGAAAAAGACUGAUCUCGAGGAAGAAGAAAUGAAAGGAUAAGCUGAUGAGUUCUUUGCAACUCCCACAUACAAGCUAAGUAUGAUGAUCUGCCUCACGGCCCUAGAGGACUUCCAGUAGUUUCAGGGAGAAAGGAUGUUCUGUUUCUUUUCUCCACAGCAAAGUUUACCAAAAGCAUAGAUAAUGCUCAAAAAAUGAGGAUUUUUCCCCCGGACUAUUGGCUAUUACAAUAUUCCAUUUUAUUUCAUAUUUUCUGUACCAUGUAAUUUGGGCCUUGUACACAGUGUUAAUACAUGCAAUAAUUAUAAUUCUCCUUGACUGCAUCAUAUUUAAAGGUGUAAGCUUCUCAAUUCAUCUCCUUGAGGCAGAUUACCCAGGAGACAACCCGCACAUUACAGAUGGAGCUACUCUGAUCCCAUUAACUGAACAGUGAGGAGAGCAUUUGAAUCACAGACUCCAGAGCCUAGUGAAACCCUGAUCUCAUUAAAAGCAAAGCAGGC